UAAAAGUCCCCUGCAAAGAAUUGAGAGAAGGAACCGUUGACAUUUAGGGAUGUGGCCAUAGAAUUCUCUCUGGAGGAGUGGCAAUGCCUGGACACUGCACAGCAGAAUUUAUAUAGGAAUGUGAUGUUAGAGAACUACAGAAACCUGGCCUUCCUGGGCAGACAAGCAACCUCAUCAAGCAGCUCCCUGACACCACAGCCAGGUAAAUCCACAAAGAUGGGGAAAAA